AUGCUGCGGGUGGCAAAGGCAGCAGCUCUCCAAGGGAGCCGGAAUUUUGAAGGAAAGUGCUUCCUCAGGGAGGGAGGGAGAAACCCACCACAUGGAGGCAGCUGGAAGGACCACACACCCCCACGGACAGAUUUGGAGCUGCAGCUCGAGGAGCAGCCAGUCCCCAGAGUAUCGUUCCGUGCAGGCGGCCAUCCCAGCUCCAGCCAAAUCCCACCCACCCUCCGAGGUGUGGCACUGGGAAAGAGAAAGGGGAGAAAGAAGAAAAGCAAACAGCCCUGGAGAACCAGUCACACGUGGCUUCCCUGGUCCCGUUUCAUCCCUGCACAGCUGACUUCCAGAACCUGUAGGAAAUUGGAGAUGGACGUGAGCAGGAGUAGGAGUUGUGAGUGA
rnacentral:lncRNA from 1 species